rnacentral:lncRNA from 1 species
UUUGUCCCAGCCCCGGAGGCUGCCCCAGCCGCCCGCGCCCGAGCCGCGGCUGCCAGCGGAGUUGCCUCCCUGCUUCCCUAGGGUGGUUCGGCUCCGCCAAACAUGUCGGCUCCGCUCGGGCCCCGGGGCCGCCCGGCUCCCACCCCGGCGGCCUCUCAACCUCCUCCGCAGCCCGAGAUGCCGGACCUCAGCCACCUCACGGAAGAGGAGAGGAAAAUCAUCCUGGCUGUCAUGGAUCGUCAGAAGAAAGAAGAGGAGAAGGAGCAGUCCGUGCUCAAAUGAGAAAAGUUGAGAGGUGCACUUCUGAUGAUGGUGGAUUAGGCAAAUUGGACUAAUCCUUCUACUGAGAGCAACUAGAAAAACUGGAUCAAAUAUAGAGUUCAUCUGUUUGAGAGUAUCAGAAAGCUAACACAGCAGUGACGGCUAUGGGGACAAGAUCCUGGACAAGAAGGAAACCUGAAAGGUGAGCUGGGAAUUUGAGGCUUCUUUCCCCUAUGGGAAUGUGUUUCUAGGAAAGAUGGCUAAGAGCCUGAGAAAUUAAGAAGAGCUUUUGAUAUACUAAUUAAAUUGGGCUAAUACAGCUAGUUUGGAAGUAGGGUUUUCUGGCAUGGAGACUGUCUGGUGAAUCUCCAAGCUUUGCGCUGAGACCUGAAAGUCUACACUUUAGUAAGCAUGAGUCAGAAAGUGAAUGGUGUAAUGCCAUCUAAUGUACAUGGUGGUAUAUAUCUGUAAUUGCAGCAAUGGGAGGUAGAGGCAGGAGGGUCAGGAGCUCAGUGUCAUCCUAAUGAGUUCAAAACCAGCAUGGGCUACAUGAGAUCCAAUUUUAACAACCAAACAAAGUCUACUUAUUUGACAAAGCUGAGCUAUGAGCUUGAAUAGAGAUGUCCAGGAGAAUUGUGAAUGAAUCUGAUUACCAGUCAAAGCAGGGUAAAUCUUUCCUGGCAAAGUAGAGUAUCAUGCCUAAUCUCAAAAUUUUCUACCACUAAUCAAUAUGUAAUAUCAGUGCUGGAGAGAUGGCUUAGUGGUUGAGAGCCUUGGCUGAGGACCGAGGUUCAAUUCCCAGCACCAUGUGGUGAUUCACAACCAUCCCUAACUCCACUUCCGGGAAAUUCUACACCCUCUUGUGAACCCUGUGGGCACCAGGCAUGCAAGUGGUGUACACAUAUAUGUGUAUACACACACACACACACACACACACACAGGUAAAACAUUUAUACACAUAAGUAAAUAAAAAUAUAAAAAAUUAUUAAAAUAUAUAGUUUUACAAACAAAAAUAAGCAUAUAGGAGGUAAGAUCAUAAAACUGAAACUAAGAAACAACAAAGCACAGGAUACUGGUAUGGGAAAAUAUGUCUAGUAAAACACAAAAAUACAAUAUGCGG